ensembl:lncRNA
CCUCUCCUCUCCUCCUCUCCUCCUCUCCUCUCCUGAUGUCUGGAUCGGUAGAGUCCCAUUGCAGGUUCAGAUUCUACUCAAAGUGUCUUUCAGCGUUCAUCUUUCAUCCUCUUCUCUCUGUCCAUCCUGUAGUCUUUAAUGUUCCUGUGAUUGAAGAAGUGGAGGAAUCCAAAACACAGAGAGGUCAGAGGUCAUCUUUCAUCCUCUUCAUCACUCCUCUUCCUCCUGUGGUCUUUAAUGUUUCUGUGUGAUUGAAUAAGUGGAGGAAUCCAAAACACACAGAGGUCGAAGGUCAGAGGUCAAAGGGCAGAGGUCAGUCCAGCACAUUCAUCUGACAGUUCCAGUGGUGAAUAAAGUGUCUGGAUCUCUUUAUCUCUUUAUCUCUCCAUCUCUCUAUCUCUCCAUCCUCCAUCUCUCCAUCCCUCUAUCUCUCCAUCCCUCUAUCUCUCCAUCUCUCCAUCUCUUUAUCUCUUUAUCUCUCCAUCUCUCCAUCUCUCUAUCUCUUUAUCUCCCCAUCUCUCUAUCUCUUUAUCUCUCCAUCUCUCCCUCUCUCUAUCUCUCCAUCUCUUUAUCUCUCCAUCUCUCCAUCUCUCUAUCUCUUUAUCUCUCCAUCUCUCUAUCUCUCCAUCUCUCUAUCUCUCCAUCUCUCUAUCUCUCUAUCUCUCCAUCUCUCCAUCUCUUUAUCUCUCCAUCUCUCCCUCUCUCCAUCUCUCCAUCUCUCUUUCUCUUUAUCUCUCCAUCUCUCAAUCUCCAUCUCUCAAUCUCUCUUUCAAUCUCUUUAUCUCUCCAUCUCUAUCUCUUUAUCUCUCCAUCUCUCUUCUCCCCAUGUGGUGUCCUGUUGCCUGCUGUGAGUGGGAGUAGUCCUGUAAGCAGAGGUGUGUCUCUCUGCCUCUCUCUCUCUCUCUCUCUCUCUCUCCCUCUCUCUCUCUCUCUCUUUUAGAGGUUAGUGGUCCUGUAGUCUGUUAACAUGUCCAUCUCUUUCCUUCUCUCUCCCUCUCUCUCUCUCUCUCUCUCUCUCUCUCUCUCUCUUUCUUUUUGUCCGAGGUCAGUGAGUGGUCCUGUGGGCUGUUGAAGUGUCCAUCUGGUUUAGUCUCUCUUGAAGAGGUGUGUGUGUGUUGUUGCCCUCCUCUCCUCUCAGACCUCCGACUCCAGGCUGGAGCAUCUACCCCAGGGCUUCGGCACAAAGGGGCUACUGCCUCUCCUGGCCACCAGCACCUGCCUCCGCUCCCUGCUCCGCCCCCGCUGCCCGGCAACCCCGCCGCCUCGUCCCGCCCGUA